AAGGCUUGACAUAUACGAGAACGCUCUAGAAAUAGAGAACUCUUUGGACACUCGUAUACAGGUGGUGCAUGGUUGUCGUCAGCUCGUGUCGUGAGAUGUUGGGUUAAGUCCCGCAACGAGCGCAACCCUCGUUCUAUGUUGCCAGCACGUAAUGGUGGGAACUCAUAGGAGACUGCCGGGGUCAACUCGGAGGAAGGUGGGGAUGACGUCAAAUCAUCAUGCCCCUUAUGUCUUGGG
rnacentral:rRNA from 1 species